rnacentral:rRNA from 1 species
GACGAACGCUGGCGGCGUGCUUAACACAUGCAAGUCGAACGCUGAAGACCUGGCUUUUGUUGGGUUGGAUGAGUGGCGAACGGGUGAGUAACACGUGAGUAACCUGCCCUCUUCUUUGGGAUAACGCCCGGAAACGGGUGCUAAUACUGGAUAUUCACUGAUCUUCGCAUGGGGGUUGGUGGAAAGGGUUGUUCUGGUGGGGGAUGGGCUCGCGGCCUAUCAGCUUGUUGGUGGGGUGAUGGCCUACCAAGGCUUUUACGGGUAGCAGGACUGAGGGGGUGACCGGUCACAUUGGGACUGGGAUACGGCCCAGACUCCUACGGGGGGCAGCAGUGGGGAAUAUUGCACAAUGGGCGAAAGCCUGAUGCAGCGACGCCGCGUGAGGGAUGGAGGCCUUCGGGUUGUAAACCUCUUUCGCUCAUGGUCAAGCCGCAACUGUGGGUUGUGGUGAGGGUAGUGGGUAAAGAAGCGCCGGCUAACUACGUG